UAUAAAUAAUAGCUUCUAAAUAUAUCGAGAAACAAUAGUUCAUAUAAAUCUAUGCACGUCAGAACGAGCAUCGUUAACUCUGAAUUCUUUUUGUUUUUUUCUUUAAUUCGUGGAAGCAUUGUUUACGAAAACAAUGCAAGGACGCGAUAAAAGGUUACGAAAAUUAACUUGUUAUAUAAUUUCAUGCAUGAGAUUGAAAUAAGUAUAUUAAAAACUUGUUUCGAUCGACUAGAAUAAUAAUUUUGACAGUUCUGUUAAUAAGUCUGACAGUUUUUUAUCUAUAAAAUGUUCUAUUUAUACGGACGAAAUUUUUAAAAAAUCAGCUGAAAUUAUUAUAUAAUCGAGAUUAAAAUUGGGCCUGUAUUCCUUGACGUUAACCUCGAAAUGAAACAAUGCACAGUCAACUCAUUUAUCUUAAAUCAGGAUGUUAAGAUAAACUUGAAUAGAAAGAGAUUUGCUUGGCAGGUCAUCAAUAUAUCUUUGCAGGAAUCCGAGUUCGAAUUCUAUCCAAUUCUUCAUAAUUUGUCAUGGAUCAGUCAUUGCUCAUCCUUUAUCCAUGUUGCUCGUCUCCG